CGAGUGGCGGACGGGUGAGUAAUGUCUGGGAAACUGCCUGAUGGAGGGGGAUAACUACUGGAAACGGUAGCUAAUACCGCAUAACGUCUCCGGACCAAAGUGGGGGACCUUCGGGCCUCACACCAUCGGAUGUGCCCAGAUGGGAUUAGCUUGUAGGUGGGGUAAUGGCUCACCUAGGCGACGAUCCCUAGCUGGUCUGAGAGGAUGACCAGCCACACUGGAACUGAGACACGGUCCAG
rnacentral:rRNA from 1 species